rnacentral:rRNA from 1 species
AUUGAACGCUGGCGGCAUGCCUUACACAUGCAAGUCGAACGGCAGCACGGGUGCUUGCACCUGGUGGCGAGUGGCGAACGGGUGAGUAAUAUAUCGGAACAUGUCCUGUAGUGGGGGAUAGCCCGGCGAAAGCCGGAUUAAUACCGCAUACGAUCCACGGAUGAAAGCGGGGGACCUUCGGGCCUCGCGCUAUAGGGUUGGCCGAUGGCUGAUUAGCUAGUUGGUGGGGUAAAGGCCUACCAAGGCGACGAUCAGUAGCUGGUCUGAGAGGACGACCAGCCACACUGGGACUGAGACACGGCCCAGACUCCUACGGGAGGCAGCAGUGGGGAAUUUUGGACAAUGGGCGAAAGCCUGAUCCAGCAAUGCCGCGUGUUUGAAGAAGGCCUUCGGGUUGUAAAGCACUUUUGUCCGGAAAGAAAUCCUUGACUCUAAUACAGUCGGGGGAUGACGGUACCGGAAGAAUAAGCACCGGCUAACUACGUG